GGGUUGUGAGGUUAAGCGACUAAGCGUACACGGUGGAUGCCCUGGCAGUCAGAGGCGAUGAAGGACGUGCUAAUCUGCGAAAAGCGACGGCGAGGUGAUAUGAACCUUUGACCCGUCGAUGUCCGAAUGGGGAAACCCAGUGUGUUUCGACACACUAUCGUUAACUGAAUACAUAGGUUAACGAGGCGAACCGGGGGAACUGAAACAUCUAAGUACCCCGAGGAAAAGAAAUCAACCGAGAUUCCCCCAGUAGCGGCGAGCGAACGGGGAGCAGCCCGGAGUCUGAAUCAGCUUGUGUGUUAGUGGAAGCGUCUGGAAAGUCGCACGGUACAGGGUGACAGUCCCGUACACGAAAAUGCACAGGUUGUGAACUCGAAGAGUAGGGCGGGACACGUGGUAUCCUGUCUGAAUAUGGGGGGACCAUCCUCCAAGGCUAAAUACUCCUGACUGACCGAUAGUGAACCAGUACCGUGAGGGAAAGGCGAAAAGAACCCCGGCGAGGGGAGUGAAAAAGAACCUGAAACCGUGUACGUACAAGCAGUGGGAGCACCUUCGGGUGUGACUGCGUACCUUUUGUAUAAUGGGUCAGCGACUUAUAUUCUGUAGCAAGGUUAACCGUAUAGGGGAGCCGCAGGGAAACCGAGUCUUAACUGGGCGUUAAGUUGCAGGGUAUAGACCCGAAACCCGGUGAUCUAGCCAUGGGCAGGUUGAAGGUUGGGUAACACUAACUGGAGGACCGAACCGACUAAUGUUGAAAAAUUAGCGGAUGACCUGUGGCUGGGGGUGAAAGGCCAAUCAAACCGGGAGAUAGCUGGUUCUCCCCGAAAGCUAUUUAGGUAGCGCCUCGUGAACUCAUCUUCGGGGGUAGAGCACUGUUUCGGCUAGGGGGCCAUCCCGGCUUACCAACCCGAUGCAAACUACGAAUACCGAAGAAUGUUAUCACGGGAGACACACGGCGGGUGCUAACGUCCGUCGUGAAGAGGGAAACAACCCAGACCGCCAGCUAAGGUCCCAAAGUCAUGGUUAAGUGGGAAACGAUGUGGGAAGGCACAGACAGCCAGGAUGUUGGCUUAGAAGCAGCCAUCAUUUAAAGAAAGCGUAAUAGCUCACUGGUCGAGUCGGCCUGCGCGGAAGAUGUAACGGGGCUAAACCAUGCACCGAAGCUGCGGCAGCGACACUAUGUGUUGUUGGGUAGGGGAGCGUUCUGUAAGCCGUUGAAGGUGUGCUGUGAGGCAUGCUGGAGGUAUCAGAAGUGCGAAUGCUGACAUAAGUAACGAUAAAGCGGGUGAAAAGCCCGCUCGCCGGAAGACCAAGGGUUCCUGUCCAACGUUAAUCGGGGCAGGGUGAGUCGACCCCUAAGGCGAGGCCGAAAGGCGUAGUCGAUGGGAAACAGGUUAAUAUUCCUGUACUUGGUGUUACUGCGAAGGGGGGACGGAGAAGGCUAUGUCAGCCGGGCGACGGUUGUCCCGGUUUAAGCGUGUAGGUGUGUGUUCCAGGCAAAUCCGGUUCACUUUAACACUGAGGCGUGAUGACGAGGCACUACGGUGCUGAAGUGAUAAAUGCCCUGCUUCCAGGAAAAGCCUCUAAGCAUCAGGUAACACGAAAUCGUACCCCAAACCGACACAGGUGGUCAGGUAGAGAAUACCAAGGCGCUUGAGAGAACUCGGGUGAAGGAACUAGGCAAAAUGGUGCCGUAACUUCGGGAGAAGGCACGCUGAUAUGUAGGUGAAGUCCCUGCGGACGGAGCUGAAAUCAGUCGAAGAUACCAGCUGGCUGCAACUGUUUAUUAAAAACACAGCACUGUGCAAACACGAAAGUGGACGUAUACGGUGUGACGCCUGCCCGGUGCCGGAAGGUUAAUUGAUGGGGUUAGCGGCAACGCGAAGCUCUUGAUCGAAGCCCCGGUAAACGGCGGCCGUAACUAUAACGGUCCUAAGGUAGCGAAAUUCCUUGUCGGGUAAGUUCCGACCUGCACGAAUGGCGUAAUGAUGGCCAGGCUGUCUCCACCCGAGACUCAGUGAAAUUGAACUCGCUGUGAAGAUGCAGUGUACCCGCGGCAAGACGGAAAGACCCCGUGAACCUUUACUAUAGCUUGACACUGAACACUGGUCCUUGAUGUGUAGGAUAGGUGGGAGGCUUUGAAGCGUGGACGCCAGUCUGCGUGGAGCCGUCCUUGAAAUACCACCCUUUAAUGGCUGGUGUUCUAACGUGGACCCGUGAUCCGGGUUGCGGACAGUGUCUGGUGGGUAGUUUGACUGGGGCGGUCUCCUCCCAAAGAGUAACGGAGGAGCACGAAGGUUAGCUAAUCCUGGUCGGACAUCAGGAGGUUAGUGCAAUGGCAUAAGCUAGCUUGACUGCGAGAGUGACGGCUCGAGCAGGUGCGAAAGCAGGUCAUAGUGAUCCGGUGGUUCUGAAUGGAAGGGCCAUCGCUCAACGGAUAAAAGGUACUCCGGGGAUAACAGGCUGAUACCGCCCAAGAGUUCAUAUCGACGGCGGUGUUUGGCACCUCGAUGUCGGCUCAUCACAUCCUGGGGCUGAAGUAGGUCCCAAGGGUAUGGCUGUUCGCCAUUUAAAGUGGUACGCGAGCUGGGUUUAGAACGUCGUGAGACAGUUCGGUCCCUAUCUGCCGUGGGCGCUGGAGAAUUGAGGGGGGCUGCUCCUAGUACGAGAGGACCGGAGUGGACGCAUCACUGGUGUUCGGGUUGUCAUGCCAAUGGCACUGCCCGGUAGCUAAAUGCGGAAGAGAUAAGUGCUGAAAGCAUCUAAGCACGAAACUUGCCCCGAGAUGAGUUCUCCCUGAGACUAUAAGUCUCCUGAAGGAACGUUGAAGACGACGACGUUGAUAGGCCGGGUGUGUAAGCGCAGCGAUGCGUUGAGCUAACCGGUACUAAUGAACCGUGAGGCUUAACCUUACAACGCCGAAGCUGUU
rnacentral:rRNA from 1 species